rnacentral:rRNA from 1 species
AUUGAACGCUGGCGGCAGGCCUAACACAUGCAAGUCGAGCGAGUGGCGGACGGGUGAGUAAUGUCUGGGAAACUGCCUGAUGGAGGGGGAUAACUACUGGAAACGGUAGCUAAUACCGCAUACUAUCAGAUGUGCCCAUAUGGGAUUAGCUAGUAGGUGGGGUAAAGGCUCAACUAGGCGACGCUCACUAGCUGGUCUGAGAGGAUGAUCAGCCACACUGGAACUGAGACACGGUCCAGACUCCUACGGGAGUCAGCAGUGGGGAAUAUUGCACAAUGGGCGCAAGCCUGAUGCAGCCAUGCCGCGUGUGUGAAGAAGGCCUUCGGGUUGUAAAGCACUUUCAGCGAGGAGGCGUUACUCGCAGAAUAAGCACCGGCUAACUCCGUGCCAGCAGCCGCGGUAAUAC